GAUGAACGCUGGCGGCGUGCCUAAUACAUGCAAGUCGAGCGAACAGACGAGGAGCUUGCUCCUCUGGCGUUAGCGGCGGACGGGUGAGUAACACGUGGAUAACCUACCUAUAAGACUGGGAUGACUUCGGGAAACCGGAGCUAAUACCGGAUAAUAUAUUGAACCGCAUGGUUCAAUAGUGAAAGACGGUUUUGCUGUCACUUAUAGAUGGAUCCGCGCCGCAUUAGCUAGUUGGUAAGGUAACGGCUUACCAAGGCAACGAUGCGUAGCCGACCUGAGAGGGUGAUCGGCCACACUGGAACUGAGACACGGUCCAGACUCCUACGGGAGGCAGCAGUAGGGAAUCUUCCGCAAUGGGCGAAAGCUUGACGGAGCAACGCCGCGUGAGUGAUGAAGGUCUUCGGAUCGUAAAACUCUGUUAUUAGGGAAGAACAAAUGUGUAAGUAACUAUGCACGUCUUGACGGUACCUAAUCAGAAAGCCACGGCUAACUACGUG
rnacentral:rRNA from 1 species